rnacentral:rRNA from 1 species
GAUGAACGCUGGCGGCGUGCCUAAUACAUGCAAGUCGAGCGAACAGACGAGGAGCUUGCUCCUCUGACGUUAGCGGCGGACGGGUGAGUAACACGUGGAUAACCUACCUAUAAGACUGGGAUAACUUCGGGAAACCGGAGCUAAUACCGGAUAAUAUAUUGAACCGCAUGGUUCAAUAGUGAAAGACGGUUUUGCUGUCCCUUAUAGAUGGAUCCGCGCCGGAUUAGCUAGUUGGUAAGGUAACGGCUUACCAAGGCAACGAUGCGAAGCCGACCUGAGAGGGUGGUCGGCCACACUGGAACUGAGACACGGUCCAGACUCCUACGGGAGACAGCAGUAGGGAAUCUUCCGCAAUGGGCGAAAGCCUGACGGGGCCACGCCGCGUAAGUGAUGAGGGUCUUCGGAUCGUAAAACUCUGUUAUUAGGGAAGAACAAAUGUGUAAGUAACUAUGCACAUCUUGACGGUACCUAAUCAGAAAGCCACGGCUAACUACGUG